GACGAACGCUGGCGGCGUGCUUAACACAUGCAAGUCGAACGGAAAGGCCCCUUUGGGGGUACUCGAGUGGCGAACGGGUGAGUAACACGUGAGUAGCCUGCCCUUGACUUCGGGAUAACUUCAGGAAACUGGGGCUAAUACCGGAUAGGAAUCCUUGCUGCAUGGUGGGGGUUGGAAAGCUUCGGCGGUUUUGGAUGGACUUGCGGCUUAUCAGCUUGUUGGUGGGGUAGUGGCUUACCAAGGCUUUGACGGGUAACCGGCCUGAGAGGGCGACCGGCCACAUUGGGACUGAGAUACGGCCCAGACUCCGACGGGAGGCAGCAGUGGGGAAUAUUGAACAAUGGGCGGAAGCCGGAUGCAGCAACGCCGCGUGCGGGAUGACGGCCUUCGGGUUGUAAACCGCUUUCAGCAGGGGCGAAGCUUGUGGUGACGGUACCUGCAGAAGAAGCACCGGCUAACUACGUG
rnacentral:rRNA from 1 species